CCGUUUGGUCACUGGUCACAGCAUCACGAAGUUGCGUUACCAAACUCCGCUUUUCUUUGCGCACCUUGAAUUUUCUUUAGUCAACCCCUCCAGCUUCCAGUUCCAAACUUCCUAUCUUUCAGCAGCUAAAUUGAGGAAAAACAAGAAGAAGCAUCUAUGGCUAUCGAUGAGAUUGAGGGACUCUUUCAAGAUUGCAUACUUGAAGAAACCCGAGCUCAAUCUCCUCCGUAUGAAUUUAGAGAAAAAACAGUAGCAGCAGCAGCAUUCCCCGUCCGGCACCAGCAGUAGUAAUAAUGCUAAUGAUGAUCAUCGGCAGAAGUUAUUAGAUGAUAAUAGUGAAGACCGUCUUACAAAGGGCAAAAAAAUGAUUGCAAUCUGCAGAGAAUUGUUGUUGAUCUUUUCUUGCUGCUAUUGUUGCUUCUGCUGUGGAGCUUGUGUUGAGGAUGAAGAAAACUGAUGAUCCUCACGGUGCAACACAGGAUCAAUGGUUGUACAGAGGAGAUUGUAGGAUUAAAAGUUGUGAUAUCAGCUCAGCUGGAUCAAAAGUUAUGCUAUCAGCUCAGCUUCUAAGGCAUAAUCAUAAAGUGGACCAAAUUUUAGAGUGUCUGCCUUUUUUUUUGUCAGAUUAUUAUGGUACAGCUGUUGUCUAACUACUUCGUUAAUCCAACAUUAGAACGUUGUAUGGUUGCAAGCAAAUUUAGGCCUCUUCCAUAGCUAUGUAUGUUGGUAAGGCUUUCAGCAAUCUGUUGACAAGGAAAGCUUGGUAAUUGUAGUAUCUUCAGUUCUGGCAGCAUAUUCUUUGAUGUUAUUGCAUUAAAGAGCAUGUUUUUCGGUUACUUACAGCCUUGUCAGCAAAAGGGAUUUAUAAUUCAUUGAAAUUUGCCCCUC